CACGUAGGGUGCGAGCGUUGUCCGGAAUUAUUGGGCGUAAAGAGCUCGUAGGCGGUGUGUCGCGUCGGCCGUGAAAACCUGGGGCUUAACUCUGGGCGUGCGGUCGAUACGGGCAUCACUGGAGUUCGGCAGGGGAGACUGGGAAUUCCUGGUGUAGCGGUGAAAUGCGCAGAUAUCAGGAGGAACACCCGAUGGCGAAAGGCGGCUUCCUGGAC
rnacentral:rRNA from 1 species